UACAGAGGGGGCAAGCGUUAUUCGGAAUUAUUGGGCGUAAAGGGCGCGUAGGCGGCCUGGCAAGUGGAAGGUGAAAUCCCUCGGCUUAACCGAGGAACUGCCCUCCAAACUGCUUGGCUUGAGUCCGGGAGAGGUGAGUGGAAUUCCCAGUGUAGCGGUGAAAUGCGUAGAUAUUGGGAGGAACACCAGUGGCGAAGGCGGCUCACUGGACCGGAACUGACGCUGAUGCGCGAAAGCUAGGGGAGCAAACAGG
rnacentral:rRNA from 1 species